GUGCACCAAGUGGCCACUAGCUGAACUAACCAACUAAACUACGUAGUGAAUAAGCAUCUGUGGUACACUACAAUGAAAACAUCAGGGCAACCGCCAUAAGUCAUUGUAGUAUAAGACAAAACUGGGUUUGAUAAAAUGUUCUACAACUUGUUAGAGGAAAGGAGACAGGUCAAAUUCGUCAUUUAAAUUAGCAGGAGUUGCAAUCCAAUAGGCUGCACACUGAGAACAGUAGCUGUCAAAUGGGUUGGAGACUGAUUGAUUUAUUGAAGUGUCCUAUACGACACGGAGCCCAGCCCUUGUGGGAAAUACAAUGGCUUUACGCUGACAGUGUGAUUCAUCAUCCAAAUAAAAUCUGAAAACCCCACGUUCCCUUCCACCUCGCGCCUGCCAUCAGUGUUUCUCGGGAGUGUUGAGCUCGAACAACAGAUCAUCCCACCUUUCACACAGAGGGACCCCGGGAGGAGCCUCGCACUCUCUCUGACAGGGGAAGGAACAGAGGCCAGCAGCAUCACCGGAUUAACAUGGCGCUCUAGGGAUGAGAGGAGAAGGCCACUAACACUCAAUGUUGGAGAUGAAAAUCAUAAAAGACGAGUAGGAUGAGUGGCCAGUUGAAUUCCACUACGCUCACAGAAGUGCCAGGAAUAAAAAUGAAAAUAAAAUGU